rnacentral:rRNA from 2 species
GGUAAGGCCCUUCGGGGUACACGAGUGGCGAACGGGUGAGUAACACGUGAGUAAUGUGCCCUUGACUCUGGGAUAACAGUUGGAAACAGCUGCUAAUACCGGAUAUGACCUGUCCCGGCAUCGGGGUGGGUGGAAAGCUCCGGCGGUCAUGGAUCAACUCGCGGCCUAUCAGCUUGUUGGUGAGGUAGUGGCUCACCAAGGCUUCGACGGGUAGCCGGCCUGAGAGGGCGACCGGCCACACUGGGACUGAGAUACGGCCCAGACUCCUACGGGAGGCAGCAGUGGGGAAUAUUGCACAAUGGGCGCAAGCCUGAUGCAGCAACGCCGCGUGCGGGAUGACGGCCUUCGGGUUGUAAACCGCUUUCACCCAUGACGAAGCGAAAGUGACGGUAGUGGGAGAAGAAGCACCGGCCAACUACGUGCCAGCAGCCGCGGUGAUACGUAGGGUGCGAGCGUUGUCCGGAAUUAUUGGGCGUAAAGAGCUUGUAGGCGGUUGAUUGCGUCAGAAGUGAAAUCUCAGGGCUUAACCCUGAGCGUGCUUCUGAUACGGGUUGACUAGAGGGAAGUAGGGGAGAACGGAAUUCCUGGUGGAGCGGUGGAAUGCGCAGAUAUCAGGAGGAACACCGGUGGCGAAGGCGGUUCUCUGGACUUUUCCUGACGCUGAGAAGCGAAAGCGUGGGGAGCAAACAGGCUUAGAUACCCUGGUAGUCCACGCCGUAAACGGUGGGUACUAGGUGUGGGGGACUUCCACGUUCUCCGUGCCGUAGC